rnacentral:rRNA from 1 species
GACGAACGCUGGCGGCGUGCUUAACACAUGCAAGUCGAACGGAAAGGCUCCAGCUUGCUGGAGUACUCGAGUGGCGAACGGGUGAGUAACACGUGGGUAAUCUGCCCUGCACUCUGGGAUAAGCCUGGGAAACUGGGUCUAAUACUGGAUAUGACCUUUCUCCUUAUGGGGUUUGGUGGAAAGUUUUUCGGUGUAGGAUGAGCCCGCGGCCUAUCAGCUUGUUGGUGGGGUGAUGUCCUACCAAGGCGACGACGGGUAGCCGGCCUGGGAGGGUGAUCGGCUACAGUGGGACUGGGAUACGAGCAGGAGGCAUACGGGAGGAAGGAGUGGGGAAUAGUGCACAAAGGGCGGAAGGAUGAUGGAGCGACGCCGCGUGGGGGAUGACGGCCUUCGGGGUGUAAACCUCUUGCAGGAGGGACGAAGCGUAAGUGACGGUACCAGCAGAAGAAGCACCGGCUAACUAUGU